GUCUGGGGAUGUUUCCUUUGCUUGUUCUGGGUCUGUGGGGCCCAUUAUGGCCCUCCACUCCUCCACUGCAUUUUCCUUGCUGAGCCCUCAACCUGAGAGAGAACCAGAACGUGGGACGGACCACUGGACAUAAACUGCACCAACUCCUCAAAGCAAGCCUACAAACCACAUAACAACAGAGACAAGAGAAUACACACAUGUUAGGCAAAGAAAGUGUUUUUAAAUCAGGCCUUACAUUUACAAGGUGAAAAAGAAUAAAGAAAGGCGGAUCAAAAAUA